GAUGAAGAACGCAGCGAACUGCGAUAAGUAAUGUGAAUUGCAGAAUUCAGUGAAUCAUCGAGUCUUUGAACGCACAUUGCGCCCCCUGGCAUUCCGGGGGGCAUGCCUGUCCGAGCGUCAUUGCUGCCCUUCAAGCCCGGCUUGUGUGUUGGGUCGUCGUCCCCCCCGGGGGACGGGCCCGAAAGGCAGCGGCGGCACCGCGUCCGGUCCUCGAGCGUAUGGGGCUUUGUCACCCGCUCGAUUAGGGCCGGCCGGGCGCCAGCCGGCGUCUCCAACCUUCUAUUUUACCAGAUUGACCUCGGAUCAGGUAGGGAUACCCGCUGAACUUAAGCAUAUCAAUAAGCGGAGGA
rnacentral:misc_RNA from 1 species